UACAGGGGGGGCAAGCGUUGUUCGGAAUUACUGGGCGUAAAGGGCUCGUAGGUGGCCAACUAAGUCAGACGUGAAAUCCCUCAGCUUAACUGGGGAACUGCGUCUGAUACUGGAUGGCUUGAGUUUGGGAGAGGGAUGCGGAAUUCCAGGUGUAGCGGUGAAAUGCGUAGAUAUCGGAAGGAACACCAGUGGCGAAAGCGGCUUCCUGGUCCAGCACCGACGUUCAGGCACGAAAGCGUGGGGAGCAAACAGG
rnacentral:rRNA from 1 species